GAAGAAAGAGGGAGGAGGGUGGAACACAUGCAAGUCGAACGGAAAGGCCCUGCUUUUGUGGGGUGCUCGAGUGGCGAACGGGUGAGUAACACGUGAGUAACCUGCCCUUGACUUUGGGAUAACUUCAGGAAACUGGGGCUAAUACCGGAUAGGAGCUCCUGCUGCAUGGUGGGGGUUGGAAAGUUUCGGCGGUUGGGGAUGGACUCGCGGCUUAUCAGCUUGUUGGUGGGGUAGUGGCUUACCAAGGCUUUGACGGGUAGCCGGCCUGAGAGGGUGACCGGCAACAUUGGGACUGAGAUACGGCCCAGACUCCUACGGGAGGCAGCAGUGGGGAAUAUGGCACAAGGGGCGGAAGCCGGAUGCAGCAACGCCGCGUGCGGGAUGACGGCCUUCGGGUUGUAAACCGCUUUCGCCUGUGACGAAGCGUGAGUGACGGUAAUGGGUAAAGAAGCACCGGCUAACUACGUC
rnacentral:rRNA from 1 species